AAGUAUGAAGCAAUAAUUGCAAUUAGUUUCGACCUAAUAAUUAGAUACUUACAAGUAUUCAUACUUU
rnacentral:tRNA from 1 species